rnacentral:tRNA from 2 species
UCUAAUAUGGCAGACUCAAUGCUAUGAACUUAAGAUUCAUCCAUAAAGAUUAUCAUCUUUUAUUAGAA